UUUCCGUAGGUGAACCUGCGGAAGGAUCAUUACCGAGUGAGGGCCCUCUGGGUCCAACCUCCCACCCGUGUCUAUCGUACCUUGUUGCUUCGGCGGGCCCGCCUCACGGCCGCCGGGGGGCAUCUGCCCCCGCGCCCGCGCCCGCCGAAGACACCUAUGAACUCUGUCUGAAGAUUGCAGUCUGAGUGAAAUUAUAAAUUAUUUAAAACUUUCAACAACGGAUCUCUUGGUUCCG
rnacentral:misc_RNA from 1 species